AUUCCAGCUCCAAUAGCGUAUAUUAAAGUUGUUGCAGUUAAAAAGCUCGUAGUCGGAUUUCGGGGCGGGCCGGGCGGUCUGCCGAUGGGUAUGCACUGUCCGGCGCGUCCUUCUUUCCGGAGACCGCGCCUACUCUUAGCUGAGCGGGCGUGGGAGACGGAUCGUUUACUUUGAAAAAAUCAGAGUGUUUCAAGCAGGCAGCUCGCUCUUGCAUGGAUUAGCAUGGGAUAAUGAAAUAGGACUCUGGUGCUAUUUUGUUGGUUUCGAACACCGGAGUAAUGAUUAACAGGGACAGUCAGGGGCACUCGUAUUCCGUCGAGAGAGGUGAAAUUCUCAGACCAAUGGAAGACGAACCACUGCGAAAGCAUUUGCCAGGGAUGUUUUCAUCG
rnacentral:rRNA from 1 species